CAGCCGCCACGGUAAUACGUAGGUGGCAAGCGUUGUCCGGAAUUAUUGGGCGUAAAGGGCCCGCAGGCGGUUUCUUAAGUCUGAUGUGAAAGCCCCCGGCUCAACCGGGGAGGGUCAUUGGAAACUGGGAAACUUGAGUGCAGAAGAGGAGAGUGGAAUUCCACGUGUAGCGGUGAAAUGCGUAGAGAUGUGGAGGAACACCAGUGGCGAAGGCGACUCUCUGGUCUGUAACUGACGCUGAGGAGCGAAAGCGUGGGGAGCGAACAGGAUUAGAUACCCCCGUAGUCCCUGUCUCUUAUAC
rnacentral:rRNA from 1 species